rnacentral:rRNA from 1 species
UGGGGAAUAUUGGACAAUGGGGGGAACCCUGAUCCAGCGACGCCGCGUGAGUGAAGAAGUAUUUCGGUAUGUAAAGCUCUAUCAGCAGGGAAGAAAAUGACGGUACCUGACUAAGAAGCCCCGGCUAACUACGUGCCAGCAGCCGCGGUAAUACGUAGGGGGCAAGCGUUAUCCGGAUUUACUGGGUGUAAAGGGAGCGCAGACGGCUUGGCAAGUCUGAAGUGAAAGCCCGGGGCUUAACCCCGGGACUGCUUUGGAAACUGUGAAGCUAGAGUGUCGGAGAGGUAAGUGGAAUUCCCAGUGUAGCGGUGAAAUGCGUAGAUAUUGGGAGGAACACCGGUGGCGAAGGCGGCUUACUGGACGAUAAUUGACGUUGAGGCUCGAAGGCGUGGGGAGCAAACAGGAUUAGAUACCCUGGUAGUCCACGCGGUAAACGAUGAAUACUAGGUGUCGGGGGACAUAGUCUUUCGGUGCCGCCGCUAACGCAUUAAGCACUCCGCCUGGGGAGUACGACCGCAAGGUUG